rnacentral:rRNA from 1 species
AGUGAACGCUGGCGGUAGGCCUAACACAUGCAAGUCGAACGGCAGCACAGGAGAGCUUGCUCUCUGGGUGGCGAGUGGCGGACGGGUGAGGAAUACAUCGGAAUCUACUUUUUCGUGGGGGCUAACGUGGGGAAACUUACGCUAAUACCGCAUACGACCUACGGGUGAAAGCAGGGGACCUUCGGGCCUUGCGCGAUUGAAUGAGCCGAUGUCGGAUUAGCUAGUUGGCGGGGUAAAGGCCCACCAAGGCGACGAUCCGUAGCUGGUCUGAGAGGAUGAUCAGCCACACUGGAACUGAGACACGGUCCAGACUCCUACGGGAGGCAGCAGUGGGGAAUAUUGGACAAUGGGCGCAAGCCUGAUCCAGCCAUACCGCGUGGGUGAAGAAGGCCUUCGGGUUGUAAAGCCCUUUGUUGGGAAAGAAAUCCAGCUGGCUAACACCCGGUUGGGAUGACGGUACCCAAGGAAUAAGCACCGGCUAACUUCGUGCCAGCCGCCGCGGUAA